GACUGAUAAGGAUGCAAGGGAAAUGAUGUUCGAUCGAGACGACAUCAAUUUGAUUGUUGUAAUCAGUUAGAAAUAUUUUUGUUUUUAAAUAGCUUAUUUUGUACUGAUGUUUGUUGUGAACCUCGUUGUAACAAAAACUUAAUGAUAUAUAAUGAUUGAAGGUUACAGAAAUACAAUGUUAUAAAAAACUUAAGACCUAGAUGAUGCUCCUCGAUUGGGACAGUUGUUCUUGUUGUGUCCUGGUUGAC
rnacentral:lncRNA from 1 species